AGAGUUUGAUCAUGGCUCAGAUUGAACGCUGGCGGCAGGCCUAACACAUGCAAGUCGAGCGGUAACAGGACUAGCUUGCUAGUUGCUGACGAGCGGCGGACGGGUGCGUAACACGUAGGAAUCUACCCAGUAGCGGGGGAUAGCCCGGAGAAAUCCGGAUUAAUACCGCAUACGCCCUACGGGGGAAAGCAGGGGAUCUUCGGACCUUGCACUAUUGGAUGAGCCUGCGUCGGAUUAGCUAGUUGGUGGGGUAAAGGCCUACCAAGGCAACGAUCCGUAGCUGGUCUGAGAGGAUGAUCAGCCACACUGGGACUGAGACACGGCCCAGACUCCUACGGGAGGCAGCAGUGGGGAAUAUUGCACAAUGGGCGCAAGCCUGAUGCAGCCAUGCCGCGUGUGUGAAGAAGGCUCUAGGGUUGUAAAGCACUUUCAGCGAGGAGGAAAGGUGUGUAGCUAAUAACUGCAUGCUGUGACGUUACUCGCAGAAGAAGCACCGGCUAACUCCGUGCCAGCAGCCGCGGUAAUACGGAGGGUGCAAGCGUUAAUCGGAAUUACUGGGCGUAAAGCGUGCGUAGGCGGCUGCCUAAGUUGGAUGUGAAAGCCCCGGGCUCAACCUGGGAACUGCAUCCAAAACUGGGCAGCUAGAGUGCGGAAGAGGAGUGUGGAAUUUCCUGUGUAGCGGUGAAAUGCGUAGAUAUAGGAAGGAACACCAGUGGCGAAGGCGACACUCUGGUCUGACACUGACGCUGAGGUACGAAAGC
rnacentral:rRNA from 1 species